AGUUAAUGCCGGAUAGGAAUAUCGGNNCGGUCUCGAAAACCGGAGUAGGGGCAACUCUACCGGGGGUUCAAAUCCCCCUCUCUCCGCCA
rnacentral:tRNA from 1 species